CUUUAGUGCAGUAGGCAGCGCAUCAGUCUCAAAAGCUGAAGGUCCAGAGUUCAAUCCUCGGAAG
rnacentral:tRNA from 1 species